GCGGAGCCGUUGGGGAGCGGGGAGAGGGGUGCGUGUGAGCGGGGAGCCGGGCCGGCACCUCAGGGGGCGUGUGAGCCCUGUUGGUGGGAAAGGCGCGCCGGCGCCCGUGGGCCCUGUGAACCGGGCACGGGGCCCUGUCAGUGGGAGAGGCGCGCCGGCGCCCCGGGGCCCUAUGAGCCGGUAGGGUGGGCAGUCACCCUCUGGCGUGAGGGGCGAGCAGCUGGCAGUCGAACCCGGGCCCCCUCCGCGUGGGGCCGGCGAGGCGCCCGGAGAAAGCUGUGAGACACCAGCAGUGGGCUUGGCCAGUGCCUGCGUCCCGCCGCCACCGGGCUCCUAAUUGUUUUUAAUUUGAGGAGAGUUCUUGAAACUUGAAAGUAUUACUGCGUUUGAAUUGUCAAGUUGAUCUGCAAGGAACAUUUCAAGAGACGCAAAAGCGGCUGCUGCCUGGUGAUCCAGCACCGUGCCUGAAGUCAGCAUCCUGGUUCUGACACUUAGCAGCUGUGGGAUCUUGGCAAAACCUGUCUUACCUGGAUUAAACGUGGGCAGUUUUUAAAAGUAGGAUGUUUUCUUAGAAAGGGUUUAGGAAAUCUUCAUGCAACUCAGUGUUAAUUUUAACAAUAUCUCUGAGAGCCUUCCACAGAAGUAUGUGGAUCGUUUAUCUGGAGCUGCUGGUCAAAGAGGAAAAGAAGACAUUAAAUGGACAAGUAGAAGAUUGAGGAUCUUACAGCAGAGCUGGAAGCUACAUCUUCAAAAUGCCUGCACCUGGAUGCAAAAAAUCAAGUUCUUCGAGAGGAGUUAUUAUCUAUGAAAGGAAUGCAAAAGAAGUGUGAAAAACUAGAGAAUAAUAAAAAGAAGUUGGAGCAAGAAGUAGUGAACCUCAGAAGUCAUAUAGAAAUGAAGAUGAUCAAACACAGUCAAGUAGCAGAAUAAACAGGAGAUUGAAGAAAGGGUGAGACAGGAUCUCGUGGAGAAAUUAAAGGAAGUCAACCUAUUCUUGCAGAUACAAGCAGCAUCUCAGGAGAACUUAGCGCACUUACAAGAGAAGAAUAAUGCUUCCAUAAGAAGUCAGAUGGAACUCAGAAUUAAAGACUUGGAAUCUGAACUCUCCAAGGCGAAAAUUUUGCAAGAAGAUUCUCAUAAAGCAGAGUUGGAAAAAUAUAAGCAACUACCUAGUAGAACUAGAAGUUCGAAAGUCAUUGGAAGGUAAACUAGACAAAGUGAAGAUGGUGUACAGAGUGAAGGUACAGGCAGAAACGCUUCACAGUUCCUGUGUUCCAAGAACAGAGAUGCUCCGCCAGCUCACUCUUCAACCUUGUUCCCAGCAGGUAUGAUGGAUUUGUUUGAGUUCUGAGCUGCUGUCAGAGUGGAGCGUCUGAUUGGAUCUCCAUGCUAACCAAAAUGUUCAGCACUGGUGCAUCGCGUAUUGACUGAUUUCUAACUUGAAGUCCUGCGGUCUUCCUGGAGGAAAGGAUAGCAGGGACUUGUUCUUGUGUAUUGCCAGCGGUGGUGUCUUAGAUCAAAUGCCUGCGAAGUCCCAAAAUGUGACCCAAGUCAGGUGACCCAGCCCUCUUUCCCAUGUAGUGAACAGCGUCAGGGACGUCUCUCCCCAGCGGUGGUACUUGAACUGUGUAUUCUCAUCUUCAUCAUGAUAAUGUAGCAAACUCUUCGGGCUUGGCACUGAAAAGAUGGACAAUUCAAACCAGAUGAUUAUAAUCCACGUGGCUCUGGAUGUAAUAAAGACAGUCAUAUGAUGA